GACGAACGCUGGCGGCGUGCUUAACACAUGCAAGUCGAACGGAAAGGCCCUGCUUUUGUGGGGUGCUCGAGUGGCGAACGGGUGAGUAACACGUGAGUAACCUGCCCUUGACUUUGGGAUAACUUCAGGAAACUGGGGCUAAUACCGGAUAGGAGCUCCUGCUGCAUGGUGGGGGUUGGAAAGUUUCGGCGGUUGGGGAUGGACUCGCGGCUUAUCAGCUUGUUGGUGGGGUAGUGGCUUACCAAGGCUUUGACGGGUAGCCGGCCUGAGAGGGUGACCGGCCACAUUGGUACUGAGGUACGGCGCAGACUCCUACGGUAGGCAACAGUGGGGAAUAUUGCACAAUGGGCGGAAGCCUGAUGCAGCAACGCCGCGUGCGGGAUGACGGCCUUCGGGUUGUAAACCGCUUUCGCCUGUGACGAAGCGUGAGUGACGGUAAUGGGUAAAGAAGCACCGGCUAACUACGUG
rnacentral:rRNA from 1 species